UCCUUUUCCCACUGGUUUUGUGACAGGGUCUGCCCCAAAGCCAGCCCUCUUGUCACAAGCGGGGAAUGUGACCACACAGCAAAGGACGCUCUAUGUGGUCACAAGAGCUGCACGUGUAUCCCUUUACUCAGGCCAGAUGUGUGAGCUGAGCCCACCCACAACCCAGCGUGUGCCCCCUGGGCAAGGCAGCUGCAUUUGGGUCUCUGGAUGCGUGUGACCCUCAGGGGUGUUGAGACCAACAAGAAAAGGCCCAUCAGGGCUCUUUGCCCUUGAGAAGAUGGAAAGGUGGGAUGAGCCAUCCUGCAAAUCCCCUAAGGUGGCGAUGCCCAGAACUGCCCCUCACCAGAGCACCCCCCCACCAGGCUGAAAGUCUGCAUUCAAUGUGGAUUGGCAGAGGUUGGAUCUGUAGCACCUUGCAGCUGAGCAGAUCUUCACCACUCGAAGUGAUUUGGCUCCAACCUCCCCGUGGUGAAAAGCCCCAUCUGAGCCAUGGAGCUCUCCUUUCCACACUGUUCAGGGGAGGCUCUGCAACUCCCCAUGACAGCAUUUGGAGCAGCCCAGCUUCCACAAGGUGUACUGGAGCCAGGAGAAGCUUUCUCAGCAAGAUUAAAUUUGCCAGAAUCAAGAACCCA